UCUUGGUACGUGGUGAGGGUUUCAUAUGUUUUCUGAAUUAUGCCUAGUUUUGUAGUAGACUGGAGGGUUUAUACAGAUAGCCUGUUUUUAACAGUAGAUUUUGGCCUUUGUGCAGAGGUUUUUUUUUCCCCCCAGGUUUGGGAUUCUUCUAGCUUUGCUCACAGUGGGUUGAGGAGAGGUGUUGCCUUUAUUUGAUGACUGUUGUGAACUUGAGUUCUCUUUCUUGUGUGUAACCCAUUGUGUUGCACACUAACUGGUGAGCCAGAAUGGAACUGCUACAUCCCCUGGUCUCAGUUAUUUCUACUGCACUGAUGGACACCUUUCCCUUCUUUCAGCAAAGUGCAGAGGAAAGUUCCACUUCCAGAAAAAGAACUACAGAAGACAAUAUCCCCACACUGCCUACCUCAGAGCAUAAAUGCAUACAUUCUAGAGAAGAUGAAGACUUAAUUGAAAAUUUAGCCCAAGAUGAAACAUCUAGGCUGGACCUUGGAUUUGAGGAGUGGGAUGUAGCUGGCCUGCCUUGGUGGUUUUUAGGAAACUUGAGAAGCAACUAUACACCUAGAAGUAAUGGCUCAACUGAUUU
rnacentral:sRNA from 1 species